UGUUCCGUGGCUCUGGUAAUCGGAGGCCUAAAGAUCCUAUUUAUUUAUUUAUUAUGUGUAAAUGUGUUCGAGCACACACAUGCCAUGGCACUGUAUGGAAGGCAGAGGACAACUUGCCGGAUUCUCCCCUGCCGCCAUGUGGGCUCCUGGACAUAGCACAGCCGCAGUGAACCCCCCCCCCCAGAACACACACGGGAUACGGCGGAGCGGCAAGCCUGCGCUGCAGGGGGCGGGCUCCCCGGAGAAAGAGAACAAGGAGGCUCAAAGAUGUAAGCCUAGUUUUCCCCUCCACAAUCAGUUAAAUCGGUGAACGCUUGGCGAGAGGCCACAAGUACCGGCCCUGUGGGCUCUGUCCUACAGGAGGGGGCGUCGGCGGGAAGCCGCCAGCCAUGCUGUGGAGGCCCCGCGCGUUCAGCUGUUGGGAUGUUGAAGCGCGGCCUGGACCACACAGGUGCGGCUUCCUCUCCUAUCCUGCAUCUCGGCCGCCGCCGGACUCAGCUUCCCCAGCCCCGGCAGGUGCGAACCGUGUUUUAACUGCCACUGAAAACAAAUUUGGGAAUCUUUUUACGUUCGUCUGUUCACUCUGCUGACAGCUUUCAGGCCGAAGAACAGAACUGCCUGGAAGCAGUGAGGAUAGUGACCAUCACACAGCAGAAAGCAAACACACACACACACACACACACACACACAAACACACACACACACACACACACACACUCUAAACACAUGCACCAAAACCGAAACAUUUAAAAAAUAUUUAUUUAUUUAUUAUUUUCUAUGUGCAUUACAGGCAUGCCCGGUGUCCAAGAAAGCCCAGAAGAGGGUGUUUGGAUCCCCUGGAACUGGAGUUAAAGAUGGUUGUGAGCUGCCAUGUGGGUGCCAGGAACCGAACCUGGGUCCUUUGCAAGAGCAGCCGGAGCUUUUAACUGCAGAGCUGUUUCUCCAGCCCCAAUAAUUUUUUUAAAGUUCAGAAAUCUUUAGAAAAGCAAAUUUUGAAUUUUCUACUUGCUAAGUAGUACAUGGAACGCAUGUAGGCCCACCAUUUCACAGAGCAGACACUUGAUACCUCUCCAAUACUCGGGAGUUGAGUGUUGUCCAGUGUGUGUGUGUGUGUGUGUGUGUGUGUAUCAAACUUUGGUCCUGAACAAGUUAGGCAAGCCCUUCUAUUACUGAAUUAUACCUCUAACCCUCAUUUUAUCUUUUUUUUUUUUUUUUUUUUUUUUUUUUUUUUACUUGACCUCACUAAGCACCCAGGCUGGCCUUGAACUCACUCGGUAGCCCAAGCAGGCCUUGGGUUUGCAAUCCUUCUGCCUCAGCCUCCCAAACAGCUUUGGUAAGAACCUGUGCCACCAGGCCCGGCUCUGCCGACCUAUGAUGUGUGCGUCUCUAAUGAACUUGCCAUGAUUCUCUAAGCAGCACAGAGCAGCUCUUGAUACAGCAUUUACUUUGUGUUAGGCAUUUGAAGGCAUGUGCAAGCUUCGUGUGCCUACAACGCCGUUUUGUAGAUGGAACUUGGGGAGCAUUCACGCUUUUUGGUCUGGGGGAGAUGUACCAGCCUCAAUGCCCUGUGGACUCUGGGAGAUGACUGUGUAUUUAUCUUUAUAAAUCUCCUGAAGAACAUUAACAGCUAAAUGCCGUGGGGUACCUUGGAUCGGAUCCCAGGACGCAGAAAAGGUAUUAGUGUAGAAACUAGCAAAAUAAUCUUAAUGAAAUCUGGAGUCUAGUUAGCGGUAAUGUACCAAGGUUAGUUUCUUGGCUUUGACAACUACAUCCUGGUUAUGUAAGAUGCUGACGUUAGGAGAAACACUGACGGCUAUUCAGGAACUUCCUGAAAUUGUCUGGAAAGCCAAAUUCAUUCUAAAAUAUAAGUUCAUUAAGACAAAGACCACAAAAAGAAAAGACCGACAUACUAUGUUAUUAUUUGAAAAUUUUAAGCGACCAAGAAUGAUGGGGAGGGGGAGGACUUACCGGGCGGCCUCGGUCUGCAAGCAGAAAAAUGAGCGCCUGGCGUGCCAGGAGCAAUCAUCCCUGAGUGUUCACUGAUGCAGAAGAUGCUUCGACAGUGGUAACGUGCUUGCUGGGCGCAUGCUUGGCUCCAGAUUCAGCCUCAAGUGCUGGGGGAGAGACUCCAGAAGAAGCAGCGAAGGCCAAGAGCAGGGACUCUGAGUGGCACAAAAAUCCCAGGAUGUUGUGGACUUCCAUUCCACUCCCUGUCAUGAAGGUUUUCUGGGACACUUAAAACUUCCUUAUUUUACUACUACUACUAAUAAUAACUUAUUAAUCUUUAUUUAUUAAUUAAUAAUAAAUGACAGUACAUAGCUUAUUGCAUUUUAUAUGCAAUUCCAUUAUAUCAAAACAAUCAAUUAAUGAAUCAUUAGUAUUAUUAAUAAUUAUUAAUAUAGUUCACGAUUACUUUUAUUAAUAAUAAUUAUUGUUGUAUAUGAAGUGUGUGUGCUUGCAUGUAUGUGGGUGUGCGCCUGUGUGUCAUGAACUGAAUUAAAGCUCAGGGGUUGGUCUUCUCUUCCCAUCAUGGAUUCUGGGAAAUUGGAUGCUGUAAUCAAGUUUGCACAGCAAACACUUUUAACCUUUUGAGCCACCUCCCAGGCCCUAAAACUUUAAGCUUUGACCUGGAAUUACAAGUGUUCCAAGCCUGGCUCCUUCCUGUCUUUAACCCCCAAGCUCCACAGGACACCGAUGAGAAAUCCUUCCUGGAGGAAAUUAGCACCGACCUAAGCCUCAAAUUAUGUUUGACAAAUGAAUUUUUUUUUUUCCAAACAUGACCUGGUCUAUGAUCCAAGAUUACCAAAUCCAGCGGACACCAGAUGGCACGGCAAGGACACGCAGAGACGGUGGGCAAGAGCGACGGACUGGCAGGGCCUGCAGAUACUGCAGACAGCAGGGAGAGUCCCAGCAUGGGUUCCUCGCUGACACACACGCAGGCACAAUUCCACCGUGGAUGUUUAGGCAGGCGCUGGAAAGUAGAAAAGUGACAGCAGAUUUGAAGAACAGGGGAGGAGAAUAUCACUGUCUUGGAAGAGAUUAGGAGAAGGGCAGGAGGUUGGCCUCUGUAAAUAGAAUGACAUUCUUUAAUGAAUUUAAGGAGGGGGUAUUGAAAAAUAGGGGAGGGGAUGAGCAUGGCUCAUGUACCGUUCACCAGAGACCCAGAACGAUGGAGGCUGUAUAAGCCACGACCCAGAGGCUCUGAAUCUUCGGGACCAUGGCAUGCAUUCUUGAUACGCUUAUAUGUUUAUUUUCCAAAGAUUUAUUUAUUUAUUUGAUUUUAAAUGUGUGUGUGUGUGUGUGUGUGUGUGUGUGUGUGUGUGUGUGUGUAUGAUUUUAUGAGAGCCAUAUGUGUGCAGAUGCCCAGAGGCCAUAGGAGUGUUGGGUUCCCUGGAGCUGGAAUUUAAGUGGUUUUAAGAUGCCUGACUUGGGUCCUGGGUCCUCUGGAUGUGUCUUAGUUGGGGUUUCUAUUGCUGGGAUAAAACACCCUGUCCAAAAGCAACUUGGGGUGGAAUGGGUUGAUCUCAGUUUACAUGUUCAUCACGAAGGGAAGUCAGGGCAGAAACUCAAGGCAGGAGCUGGGAGGCGGGAGCUGGGAGAGAGGCCAUGGAGGAACAGGCCGCUUCCUGGCCUGCUCUUCAUGCCUUGUUCUUUCUUAUAGCACCCAGGACCAGCAGCCAGGGGUGGCACCACUCACAAGGGGCCCACCCAUAUCCAUCAUCAAAAAUGUCCCACAGGCUUGUUCAUCAGCCAGUUUGGUGGGGGCGUUUCUCUAGAGUUGAGGUUCUCUCCUCCCAAAGGACUCUAGCUGUGUCAAGUUGACAAAAACCAACCCCCCCCAAAAAAAAAAAAACCAACAACAACAACAAAAAAAAACCUAGCUGGCACUGGUGGUAAGUGUUCUUAACCACCGAGACAUCUCUUCCAUCUCUUCCUGCAUUUGCUAUAUGUAAAAUGUUAUAGAACUCAGAGCAUUGGUGACUUUUUUUCUGUGUGUGUGUGUGUGUGUGUGUGUGUGUGUGUGUGUGUGUGUGUGUUAAGGUCUAAGGGAGGUAUAGUAGUGGGGAGAGAGAGAGAGAGGAUCCCUGUCUCCCAUCAUGCCUGAAAAUUAACUCUAGGUAGAUUAUGAGGUGAGAGGUACAAGUUUUAGAACAUAGUAGAAAGCAAUUUCAUGGCCUUUGGGUAGGGGAAGAGUUCUUUAUUUUCUCUCUCUCUCUCUCUCUCUCUCUCUCUCUCUCUCUCUCUCUCUGUGUGUGUGUGUGUGUGUGUGUGUGUGUGUGUGUGUGUGUAUCCAUGCAAGGGCAUUUGUCUGCCAUGGCCCACACGUGGAGGUCAGAGGACAACCUCCAGUGCCAAUCUUUGCCUACAAGUUUUUGUUUAGUUUUGUUUCUGAACAGGACUGCUUUAUCGUUCCCAACUGUACAUGCACGGCUAGCUAGCCCUCAAGCUUUCAGAGACUGGCUCUGCCUCCCACCUAGCCGCUGGAGUCCAGAGGUUUCGGACGUGCCCCACCAUGCCUGGCUUUCCUUGGGUUCUGGGGAUACAAACUCCAGUUCUCACGUUUGUGUGGCAAGUGCUUUAUCCACUGGGCCCUCUCUCCAGCCUGUUUCCUUUUGGUUUCGAGGGUCUCAUGUAGCCCAAGCUGGCCUUGAACUCAAUGUGUAUCUAAGAAUAAUAUUGAACUUCUUUUUUUUUUUUUUUUUCUUUUUGAGUCAGGGUUUCUCUGUGUAGCUUUGGCUGUCCUGGACUCGCUUUGUAGACCAGGAUGGCCCUGAACUCACAGAGAUCCACCUGCCUCUGCCUCCCUGAGUGGUGGGAUUUACAGGCGUGUGCCACCGUGCCUAGCUAACAUUGAACUUCUUAUCUAGCUGUCUUAACAGCUCAGGUGCUGCCCCAACACUUGAUUUUUGUGGUACUGUGAGCUGAACCUAGGGUUUUGUGUAUGCCAGGCAGGCACUUUGUCAGCUCCCAACUUUGGGAAAGAAUACUUGAGAUCGAUAAAGAGAAAAGCACAAAGGAAAAUACUGAUGCUCAUCGAGUAUAUUAAAAUUAAAAAGCUGUCCAUCAAAAGAUGACACAAAAAAAGCCACAGAGUUGGGCAGGGUAGGGGAGAAAAUAUCGAAAACCAUACAUCCAGGGACAGCGUGGAUAUGUUGUCAGCAAAAUAUGAAGAUGCUGGCAAUUGUGGUGUAUUCUGAGUCUGUUUGUUUAUGUCUAAAGCUGACCAGACUUACUAGCAAUGUACGGUUAAUAUGCAUGCUGUAAGAUUAAGCCAUAAAGCAGAACAUGGAAGCUGUGAGCCGGAGGUCUGCAGGGGAUUCUAGGAGCUGCUAAUGUUUGCUUCUCUGUUGGAGUGUGGGUUGCACAAGUGUUCUGGUUUUUAUUGCUCUGGGAAUUUGGCUUAUGUACUUUCCUGUAUACAUAUUUAAGUUCUUUUCUUUCUUUCCUUUUUCCUUCUUUUCUUCCUUCAUCCUUCCCUCCCUCCCUCCUUCCUCCAUCUUUUUUUAUUCCUUCCUUCUUGUUUAUUCUUGAGACAGGGUUUUUUUUCUGUAUAGCUGCGACUGUCCUGGAAUGAACUCUGUAGAUCAGACUGAGCUAGACCUCAGAGAUCCACCAGCCUCUGCCUCCCAAGUGCUGGGAUUAAAGACAUGCGCCACCAUUGCCUGGCCAUAUUGAGUUCUAAAUAAUAAACUUCUAUGUAUCUAUGUA